UUAUUAUCAGUUGUUUCCCAACUUACACAUGCAAGUCUCAGCACACCCGUGAGGACGCCCUUUCAACCUACAUCAGGUAAAGGAGCUGGUAUCAGGCGCAGACUCUUGCCCACAACACCUAGUUUCACCACACCCACAAGGGUACUCAGCAGUGAUUAAUUUUGUCUAUAAGCGACAGCUUGACCCAGUCAGGGAAAACAGGGCCGGCUAACACGGUGCCAGCCGCCGCGGCUACACCGCGGGCUCAAAUUGAUAAUUACCGGCGUUAAGCGUGAUUAAAGUUCUUAGAAACUAGGAUUAAAUUAACACUUAGUAGUUUUAUGCUUGUUGUUAAGAAAACCAUAAACGAAAGUUAUCCUAUCUUAUCUUGAAUACACGACAGC
rnacentral:rRNA from 1 species